rnacentral:lncRNA from 1 species
UAUUGGAGCUAAAAUUUGGUGCCAUGACUUUGGGGAUUUUCGGCCAAAUCCAAAGGGUGGUUUUUUGGGUUCUUGUUUGACUUGUUAAAAGUGUUUUCAAGUGACUUUUGGAACCCCUAUGUACCCUAGUUUGGUUAGAUGUUAUUUCCCUAAAGUUUGAAUGGUUUUGGAAUGUUUUUUGGGUGAAAAAUGUUCAUGGAAAAUUUUGAGUUUUUUCAUGAGUGUUCUUCAUUGUUCUUGACAUUUUUGCCAAGAACAAAAAGGUUUGUGUUUUGAUUCAAAGUUUUGAUUUAUUUCAUAAAGUCUUUGUUUUGUGUUUUAUCAAAUGUUUUAAUGUGAUAGAAAUUGUGUAAGGUGAUGGAAAUGGUGAUAGGUGUGUAAGAAGUACUUCUCUUACACACACAUCACUUGCAUGACUUUAAGUCACAUUCCACUUGCAUGAAUUUAUGUCACAAAUUCCACUUGCAAGGCUUUAUGAAAUUGUUGAAAAAAAUUUCCAAAUUUUAGUGGACUUAUCUCCACUCCCUUUCCCUCUCUAAAACCGGCCCUCCCUCAAGUGGGAGUACUUUUGGGUUUUUUAUGCAAUUACAUAAAGUUUUGAUACUUUUGUGUAUUUGCACUUUGGCCCAAAAGUUUACGUUUUUA